rnacentral:misc_RNA from 1 species
CCCAAAAUUUGUAGAUGUGGGUGGGAAACGACAUCGAAAUGCAGAUCAUUUUCCACUCUCACCUCCAGUUUUCAAGCCCAAUUUUCCACUCCCAAUCCCACCGAGAAGGAGCAAUUGCGGGAAUGGUUGUUUUACAUCUGUCACAGUUGUAGAUAGAUUAAUGUUUUUGAUCAUUUUCCCACUCUUUUUGGGCCUUACCUGACCGACAAUUUUCACUUUCAUCCUUUUUUUGGUCAGCAAUUUUCCCCUCUGACACCCAAGCAAAAAUAUGAUUUUGGUACACUGUGCUUAUAUGUAUCCCCACGGUGAAAGGCUGGUUCGGAUGCCACUCAUUAUACAUUUUUUUAAGGCUUUGUGCAGUAACACUAAAAUUGGCCUUUGUUUUUAUUGUUAAUGUUUUGCGUCUUCCAGAAAACCUCGGCAUUCCUGUACCGGACUCUGCUGGCGCUCACCUACAACUGGACCUGGACAAAACGGUGGCGGGAGCAUCAGCUGCAGACGCACCUGUACCGGACUCUGCUGGCGCUCACCUACAACUGGACCUGGACAAAACGGUGGCGGGAGCAUCAGCUGCAGACGCACCUGUACCGGACUCUGCUGGCGCUCACCUACAACUGGACCUGGACAAAACGGUGGCGGGAGCAUCAGCUGCAGACGAACCUGUACCGGACUCUGCUGGCGCUCACCUACAACUGGACCUGGACAAAACGGUGGCGGGAGCAUCAGCUGCAGACGCACCUGUACCGGACUCUGCUGGCGCUCACCUACAACUGGACCUGGACAAAACGGUGGCGGGAGCAUCAGCUGCAGACGCACCUGUACCGGACUCUGCUGGCGCUCACCUACAACUGGACCUGGACAAAACGGUGGCGGGAGCAUCAGCUGCAGACGCACCCGCUGCAGACAGACCAGCACACUCGCCCGCUGCAAAUGAACCUGCAGAGGACGCACCUUUGAUUGAAAUGCGAACGCCUCCGCUACAGCGGCACAGAAAUCGGAUGGUGGCCACGCGUGAAAACAUGUCGUCAUUUAACAAGGUUGCGCAAGUUCUCCCCACGAUAUGUGUACGAAAUGAUUCCAAUGAUGACAGACUGGAUGACGUGGUGUCAGACACAGACUCUGAUCCUGACUGGAUGCCUCCCAGCAACGAGUCUGCUGACAUGCUUGACCGGACGUGGUCCCUCGACGAAGUGUGUGAAAUAUUUCCUGAAGUGAGAGGUGAGAUUCUUCCCAAUUCACCCGAUCACGCAGAUUCGAACCCAUCACUGCAGUCACACGCCACCUACUCACCUGUCGCGGGAGCAUCUGCGGACGCCCUCUUGCCACCCGCACCCGCAGCUGCAGACGCUUCUGCCGCACCUGCCGCACCCGCACCCGCUGCAGAUACUUUGACGACCCAACCUGCAGUGAAUGUACCGACAGCGAGUACAUCUCGCGAGGAUGAACCUCACCUGGAAGGAUCCCCCAGUCAUGGUGUCUUUUAUAGAGUGUCGCCUACUGCUAAAACGUACGAUACAGUAAACUCAUGCCUGUUUUGUAAAAAGAAAAUCAAACAGAAAAUGCGCCGCCAUUUGAAAACAAAACAUUCAGACAAACAGCAAGUGGCGCAUGCCAUGACGGGGACAGCUGAUCAACAGGACAGAAAGUUUUCCCUUCUUAUCAGCCGGGGUAACUUUGAGCACAACUUGGAAGUACUGGAAGCUGGGAAAGGGGAACUUAUGUUGAAGAGGAGACCCAAGAAGCCCGACAUACCAGUCACCAAGUUCCUGCCAUGUCCUGGAUGCCUGGCGUUUAUGUUGCGUGAGGACCUGCAGCAGCAUCAUCCAGUUUGUCCUGCAGACAACAUGGACAGUCUGGACAACGCAAUGAUCACCACCAAGGCGGAAAACCUGCUGCGCAGGUUUGAUCCAGGAGACGUACCUGAGUUCGUAAGGGAGAUACGAGACAAAGCUAUAAGGGACGUAGUUUGUGGCGACAGAACGUUGGUGGCAUAUGCCAACUACACCGUAGAAAGCAAAGGAAAAAACGAAAACCACUUGAAGCCAAUAAAAACCAGAGUGACCAAACUAGCCAAAGUUCUCCUAGAUGUACGGGACAGGAAGAGUCAGCCAAACCUCACUAUGGAUGAGCUUUGUGACGCUCGAUACUUUGACGACAUUGUGCAUGUGACAAAGCAAGCAGCGGGAUACAGGGAAGGCACUAAGCUGACCCCACCAACGUUCCUAGUGCCUACUGUGCCAAGAACAGUGGGAACUGCGUUGGGGAAGGUUUGCCAUGUACUACUGGGCGUCAGUAUGCGAGAAGGAAACACGGAGAUGCAGAACCGAAUCUCCAUCUUCAAGAGACUGCUAGAAAACGAAUGGGGCGAUAAAAUGGGGCGCGCCUCACUCGAAACAUUGAAUUUGAGAAAACAGAACGCAGAGAAACAGCUGCCAACCACCGAAGAUAUGAAACGGCUACAGAACCACCUUCAGACCAAACUGGCAUCCACGAUGGAGUCUGUGAGUAGAAAGCCUAGCGUCAAGUCAUACAACACCUUGGCGUGCGUAACAGCCGUCAGCCUCAUGGUGUUCAACAAACGUAGAGGUGGAGAGUCCAUGAAGAUUCGUGUCCGUGAUUACACUUCAAGAGCGGCGUACACCCAAAACGAGACAGUCGUCAAUUCGCUAUCAGACUUGGAGAAACAGAUCAUGGACAAGAUGUGCCUGAUCAAAACGCGUGGCAAACGUGGAAGGACUGUGCCGGUUCUCAUACCACAGAUGGAGAAACGGGCGAUCGAUCUUCUGGUUUCUCUCCGUGAGUCGGUGGGUCUGCGUGAUAGUGUACCAGAAGAGGCGCUCCUCUUCUCAAAGGCUCCGGAAGGAAGACUCGUAAACGGGUGGUAUCAGCUGAAGAAAGAAUGCAGAGAUGCUGGUUGCCGAGACAUAAACGCCAUCACUUCAACAAAUAUGCGCAAAUAUCUAGCCACGAUCGCCCAGAUCAUGAACCUAUCAGAAAAUGAAAUGGAUCAGAUUGCCUCACACCUCGGACACGAUAUAACCGUUCACAGAAAAUAUUAUCGCCUACCGGACAGCACAGUAGAACUCGCGAAAAUAGCGAAACUUCUACUGUCUACCGAAGAAACGCUUGGAGCCAAUCUCGACGAUGAUGCUGAAGGAGCGUCAAAUGCAGUCGGCGCUACGGCUGGCCGUGUCAGCGACCCACCUGCUCGGCCACGGCCAACAGGCAGCCGGCUCCGACGUCAAGUAGGCGCUACGGUUCCUGACGCCAGCAGGAGCACUUGACCAGCAGCUCACCGCCACCGCACAGGACCUGGCACAGCUCGGCACAGGCAUGCACAUUGACCCAGCAGUGGUGCAAGAAUGCGAAUGGCAAGCUCUGCACUGAUUCCUCCGUUUUUAGCAUUAGUGUUUCGCGUAACUUUCCGUUAAACGGACGGGGCCGCCGCCGGCCCCGGCCGCCGCCGUGCGAGUCGGCCGCCGCGCCGCUACGGACGACUGGCACACGCCACAAGUGUGAUGGAUUUUCGGCCAACGCGGCGACACCGGCGUAGCGUUCAAUUGGCCGCGCUGCCCUGACGCUCCGGUGACGGACAGGUGGACCGAGGGCGCCGCCCGCCCAUCCCUCCGGACCAGGCCAGGCCGGCCGAUCUGAGGGAGGUAGGGAGGAGCCGCGUGGCUGGCCGAAUGGACGGCCGCGCCGGGCCAUUGUCACUGAUUGUUGGCCAUUGUCACUGAUUGUUCAUUGCCGCACCGAGGUCCGGCGAUGUCACCGGAAUGCCGCCACUGGUUUGAGUUUCCGCGAAACCGGCUUGCCCAGAGAUGUUUGUCACUGGCAUUGCUAUGUGCUAUUUGUGAUGUUCAUAUAUACCAUUCCCGUUACGGAGUACAUAUCUUGUUUUGAACGUUAAGUUCCGAUAUACGAACUGGCCGUCUGAAAAAGAGCCGCACGUGCACGAUGCUUGUAGAUAUUCCUGACGACCACGAACCGACCACGAAUCAGAACUGCGCCUCUCGUAAUGGGAGUGCGAGUAGUUGUUGCGAGUUAGAGCUCCUUGGCGAGUGGCUGACUCUGAACUGACUGACUAAACACCGGUUAGCUGUUUCACCAGCAGUCCCAGUGGAGGGAAGUAGGCCCAGGCGAGCAGGGUGUCGCAGCGUAAGUCCGACGAUGGCGGCGCAGUAGUCGAAUGGCGUCCACAUUUAGCCGACGAAGGCUGCGCUGAGCGCCAUACCCGCCUCACCUUAUCUCCGAGUCACGUGUUCAUGACUGACACGGGCAACCAUACGGCCCGUCGUUGCCCACGCGCACCCCAGACGGGGCCGCCAGUCGCGGCCCCGGACACGUCAGUCCCCAGAUCUGCAGUGAUGUCGCCCGGCUCUGACGAUGGCGCACAGCCGCCGUGUCCGCGGUCUCCGUCGCCGCCGCGGUAUGCGGCGCUGGGCGGCGACUCGUACAUGUCGCGGUCUCGCCAUUGGGGGCCGAACGAUUCGCGGCUCCCGCCGACCCCGCCGGCGACGAGUUUCCUCCGGCGAGUCCUGCGCCGUCUGGCGUGGUCGACGCUGCCCGGGAGGUUCCUGGCUGGCAAGCUGCUGCUGUGUCUACCGACGCACAGAGUUUUGUCGUGGCUGUGCUGUCCGCGGCCGUGCUCCACGGUUGCGACGUCUGCGGCCAAGCUGCCCGCUGCUGAGCUCCGCGGCCGAGCUGCCAGCGGCCGUGCUCUGCGGCCGUGCUCUGCGGUCGUGCUCUGCGGCCGUGCUUCCCGUGGCUGGGCCCUCCGUGGUCCCGUGAUCGUGGCCGCGGCGAGGGUGCCGCGACCUGCGCGAUGCCGUGCGCUGCAGUGAUGGCGCCGCGCACUGUGCAGUGAUUUUGCCGAGCGCUGCGUACGCGGUGGGUGCCGCGCGCCGCGCUGUUGAGCGUGCCGUAUUCGGACGGUGGCUGCCGCGCGCAGCGUGGUGAUUGCUGCGCUCUGCCAUGAGUGCCGCUCACUGCCGUGGCCUGAGUGCCGCGCUCGGACGGAGUGCCACGCGCCGUUGUGUUGCGUCGCCUUCUGCCUUUUGAUAUGUGCUAUCUCCGAAUUUAAUGUUGCUUGUUGCCGAUGUUCGCUUCUUUUCGUUAAGAGGGUCGGGUAUAGUCGGUCGAUUUAUUCGCACCGUUUGAUUUCGUACCGGCUUCUCUUCUGUUUCUUAUUGUUUUCUGCGAUGUCACUUGUCCGAUUUUAUAUCUGAUUAAUUCACGUCACUUAAGUAUUUAUUUUAUAUUGUCAUAAUAACUUACGGCGCUGUUCCUUUAUUUUCUGUUUAGUUGCAGCCCUAGUACCUUAAUUUCCGAUGUCUCUUCGGUUUGUUGUCGCUCGCAUGUUCAGAGAGUCCUGGUUGGCCGGCGCGAGCGGCGGUUGUGGAAUACAAGCUCGUCUGUGAA